CAGACAGGUUUCUAGGUAGAAAGGGACGGGUGCCCAAUAAAACCCCUACCUUCAAGCCAGAGACAGUCUGAAGCCUGGGGUUAAACUGCGAGUUCUGGUGGCGUCCACUGACUGGAGUGAGAAGUUAUAGACCGCCUAUGGGUAAAUCAUCACGUACUUCCGCCUUUCUGCGUCCAUAAAAACCGAGGACUCAGCCACACUCAGACACACACGUCCGGACUACCCGGAUGCGGAAAGGAGUUACCCACCCUGGGUCUCCUGAGAGCCAUUUUGUAGCUCAGUGAAGCUCCUCUCCGCCUUGCUUCACCCUCCACUUUUCUGCAUACCUCAGUCUCCCUGGAUGCGGGAAAACAACUCUGGACCCACCGAAUGGCUAAAAAAAAAGCAUAGGACUUUGGGUUAAGAAAAAGCAACGCAAAACAAAAAAAAUGAAGUUUGCCUGCAAUAGACAGCCUCAGGAGCUCAAGAAUAAAAUUCGCUGGAGAAUAUCAUGCCAUAUUCUUGCCUGUGGACCUGGACCUGGACUAUCCUCAGGGAGAUCUUUCUCAAAUUUAAAGUCCUCUGAAGAAUGAAUAACGAAUAAAUCCUGAGAAGGAAUUUAAAACAUGCUUCUUCAACUAGCCUUCUUUGCUGUCCUCAGAUUCAGAAAGAAAGGAAGAAAAGAAGAAAGAAAAAGAGAAAGAAAAAAAGAAAGAGAGAAAGAAAGAGGAAGAAAAAGAGGGAGAGAGCUCCUGUAUUGGAGUCUCACUUGUCGCCCAGGGUGGAGGUCAGCAAUGAGAUCUUGACUCACUACAACCUCAGCCUCCCAAGUUCAAGAGGUUCCCCUGCCUCUGUCUCUCUAGUAGCUGGGAUUAUAGGCAUGUUUCAACGUGUCCAGCUAAUUUUUGCAUUUUAGUAGAGACAAGGUUUCACCAUACUGGCCCGGCUGGUCUCCAACUCCUGACAUCAAGUGAUCCAUCUGCCUCAGCCUCCCAAAGUGCUAGAAUUACAGGUGUGAGUCACCAUGCCCAGCCCAAUCUUUCUGAAUAUUAUUUUUAUGAUGCCCAAGAGUCUUAUUUUCAUAUCACUGUGUUAUGGUAUUAACAUUUGUAUCUCCUCCCAAUUCAUGUUGAAGCCCUUACCCCUAGUGUUGCUGUAUUCAGAGAUGAAGCUUCAAAGGAAGUAAUUAAGGUUAAGUGAGGCCAUUAGAGUGGUUUUCUCAAGAGAUAGGAUUAGUGUUUUAUACGAAGAGGAGGAGAGAACGCUC
rnacentral:lncRNA from 13 species